AGUGAACGCUGGCGGUAGGCCUAACACAUGCAAGUCGAACGGCAGCACAGUAAGAGCUUGCUCUUACGGGUGGCGAGAGGCGGACGGGUGAGGAAUACAUCGGAAUCUACUUUUUCGUGGGGGAUAACGUAGGAAAACUUACGCUAAUACCGCAUACGACCUACGGGUGAAAGCAGGGGAUCUUCGGACCUUGCGCGAUUGAAUGAGCCGAUGUCGGAUUAGCUAGUUGGCGGGGUAAAGGCCCACCAAGGCGACGAUCCGUAGCUGGUCUGAGAGGAUGAUCAGCCACACUGGAACUGAGACACGGUCCAGACUCCUACGGGAGGCAGCAGUGGGGAAUAUUGGACAAUGGGCGCAAGCCUGAUCCAGCCAUACCGCGUGGGUGAAGAAGGCCUUCGGGUUGUAAAGCCCUUUUGUUGGGAAAGAAAAGCAGCAGGUUAAUACCCCGCUGUUCUGACGGUACCCAAAGAAUAAGCACCGGCUAACUUCGUG
rnacentral:rRNA from 1 species